rnacentral:rRNA from 1 species
CACGAACCCGUACGAACGUUAUUCGGAAUUAUUGGGCUUAAAGGGUGCGUAGGCGGUGCGGUAGGUGAGGUGUGAAAGCCCUCGGCUCAACCGAGGAAUUGCGCUUCAUACUGCCGUGCUAGAGGGAGACAGGGGUAAGCGGAACUGAUGGUGGAGCGGUGAAAUGCGUUGAUAUCAUCAGGAACACCGGUGGCGAAAGCGGCUUACUGGGUCUCCUCUGACGCUGAGGCACGAAAGCUAGGGUAGCGAACGGGAUUAGAUACCCUUGUAGU